rnacentral:rRNA from 1 species
GAUGAACGCUAGCUACAGGCUUAACACAUGCAAGUCGAGGGGAAACGACAUCGAAAGCUUGCUUUUGAUGGGCGUCGACCGGCGCACGGGUGAGUAACGCGUAUCCAACCUGCCCACCACUUGGGGAUAACCUUGCGAAAGUAAGACUAAUACCCGAUGAUAUCCCUAGACGACAUCUGAAAGGGAUUAAAGAUUUAUCGGUGAUGGAUGGGGAUGCGUCUGAUUAGCUUGUUGGCGGGGUAACGGGCCCACCAAGGCUACGAUCAGUAGGGGUUCUGAGAGGAAGGUCCCCCACAUUGGAACUGAGACACGGUCCAAACUCCUACGGGAGGCAGCAGUGAGGAAUAUUGGUCAAUGGGCGAGAGCCUGAACCAGCCAAGUAGCGUGCAGGAUGACGGCCCUAUGGGUUGUAAACUGCUUUUAUAGGGGAAUAAAGUGAGCCACGUGUGGUUUUUUGUCAUGUACCCUAUGAAUAAGGACCGGCUAAUUCCGUG